AGAAUCGCGAUGGCAAUAGCAUUAUUACCGCCAGAAAAUACACGUGAAGGUUUUAUGGAAUUGGAACUUUUUUUCCGUAGCAAUAUUUAUAAUACUGUUGAACCACAUGAAAGUUUGAAAUUUUUCCAAUUCCUACAGUAUUUUAAUAGGACUUGGUUAACAGGUUUAUUUUCUGAACUACUGUCUGUAAUCUGUAACAGACUUGAACUGGCAUACAAAUAAUGUAUUAGAAAUAAGUCAUAGGAAUCUUAUGACUAAUAUAAAUAUUCCAAACCCAAACCCAUGGCUAUUAUAAAGUAUAGAAAUGCUUAUUAGAUAUACGGGUGGUAUAAUCAAUGAUUACCGGUUAGCAAGUGAUGGGAUUGAAAUAAGGCAACAAAGACCACGUGUAUGGAUAGCACAAGACAAAAAAAUAAAAACUGGGCUAACCAAGUUGAGGAACUACAGAUUUUCAGUUGCCGAAUUUUUGGGCUACUGUAAACACAGUACACCGAAUUUUGUAAUAAACCGUCCCAAUGAAGGUGAAUUGAUUAAUUGGUUAAAUUCUUUUUUCCAUCAAUUUUAGAAUAGGUUACAAUAUUAGUUGUACAAAAAAAUGUAUGUUUUGUUUCAAAAUCUAACACUUUUAUGACAUUUAUGU